AUUGACAAGUAUCUUUUGACAAGGUUGAGUUUCUCAUAUUUUAUUGAUUUUUCAAUACCAUAAUUGUUCAAUAUUCGAAUUACUUUUUCUCAGUUCAAAGGAGUUAUAAAUAAACUAGUCGUUGUGCAUCUUGGUAUAUUUGAAAUGAAUCUUUUAAAAUCGAUGUACAGAGCCUUUAACAGGGAGGAUAUGGAGGAUAUUACAAAUAAUGCCAUUCAAUUAAAAUGGAUGACACCGUACACUCAUGUACAGUGUUUAUGGAAAAUUUAUCCAGUUUUAAAACAAUUUGGUGAAAUCAAAAAUAUGGGAACGCUUCUUUCAUCGUAUGGCAGGAUAGCUUUUGUUGAAUUCACAACGCAUCAAGAAGCUAUUUCUGUCUUAUUAAAACGACAAAUCACAAUAGGAAAUUGUAAAAUUGAGUUGAAACCAUUGAAAGGAGCAUUUCUUAAAUAUUACUGUCCAGUUGAAAUUAGUCAAAGAGUUAAGGUUGAUGAUAUAUUAUUAUUGAACCCACCAGAUAGAGAAUCUCCGAAAAAUAUACUUAACAUUUUGAAUGAUGAUUGUUUAUAUGAAAUUUUUAGAAGAAUCCACCCAUCAAAAUAUCAUAUAAUCGCUGAUGUUUGUGUUAAGUUCAAUCAAAUAUUAACAGAAAUGUUAGAAAGAAAACACCACAAGAAUAUGUUUGAUAUAAGUGAUAUGGAAUUAUUUACAUUAUCAGAAGCAGAUCAUUAUUUACAACAUUUUGGCUCGUCAAUUUAUCGCGCUGAAAUCAGUGGAUUUAAAUUAAAACCUCACCCAAUAAAUUUAAAAAUUAAAAUAAUUUUAAAAAUGAUUAGUGAGCAUUGCGUGAAUCUUCGUGAUUUUCGUAUCAUUAAUUUCGAACUGGAGAAAGAAACCGCGAAUCAAAUAAUUCCAUUAUUUACACGAAUAGAAAAGCUAACCAUUCAAAAAACUACAGCUAGUGCGCUCUUUCCAGUUUUUCUUCCUCCAAUCAACUGCCCGAAAUUAGUAGAAUUCUACUGGUCUAAUAAAUAUAUUUCUACAUAUACAAAACAGAUUCAGAUUCCUUUUCUCAUAAAUUUUUUGAAACACAAUACACAAUUGAAAAAGUUUUGGUAUUUUGGUAAUGUAAGGCAUGGCCUUAAGGAUAACAAAAUGCAUUUACCAAUGAAUAUUUCACUUUUUGGUCGGUUCAAAUUCUUAAAAAGCUUAUCAAUAACCAAUCAUGAAAGUUUCAUUGGAGAACAUUCCAUAGAUGAGCAUCUACUUAAUGUUACGAAUUUAAUGCAAAUAUUAUCAAUGGAAAAUAUACCGAUUGAAUAUUUGAAAUUGGACAAUGUAUUAGUUGAUGACGCCUCAAUCGAGUACAUUUUUCAAUUGAAAACUAUGAAACAAUUUGUAUUUUCGGACUUUAAUUGUUACCUGCCGAUGAAGCAUUCACCUACCCGUGAUGUUAUUGAAUCAUAUAUAAUUCGUCUUCAGUCUGGUCUCCCAAAUCUUGAAUUUUUGCAAUUCCAAACCAGCUCUUAUAUUGACAUAGUCUUCACAGAUGAAAAUACUGAUCAAACUGAAAAACAUCUACAGAAAAAAAUAAUAACAGAAAUAAAAUUAAAUCUGCAACAAUUCAAUAGCAGUGCAUUCACCGAUAAAUAUAACUAUACUACAAUUGAAAAUACUACGUACAGAAAAAGAACUUAUAACAUACAUCACGUUCCUUGGUAUUACAGACUGACGAUAAGAAAGUUUCCUGCAGUUGAUUCGGAAGUGCAACGUUAUUGGCUCACACUUUCUUAUAGAGACGACCUUUGUGCACAUAUUCCUGUAAUUGGUUUUCCAUUUGAAUAGUCAAGCACACAGUAGACAAGACAAGAAUAAAAAUCGAAACAACUGCGUAUAUGCAUAAACAAUAAUUUUCAGAUUAGUGUUGAUAUAGAAAGAAACAACGUUUUAAAUAAUUUGUAUUAAACAAAACACAUGAUCUAUAAAUAAAAAAACAAGAAAACAAAAAGAAAAAUGCGAAUUAUUAAACAGAAUCAUUGGAAAUAUUUAUACAUAAAAGUGGGGAUGAAAAAUUGAACAAAUUGAGCAAGAAGAUCGUUGAAAGACGUGACAAGAAAAUGUUGCAUCAAAUUUGCGGCAUCGUGGAGGUAAAGUAUUCACUGAACAUCAGUUUGGGCCAUAAUAAUGUAGACUUUAGUGUUUUAAAAUGUCUGUACCUUGGAACACGAUUGUCUUCCAAAUUGUCAGUAUACAUAAUAAAAUAUGACAAACUCACCUCAAAUGAUGCUUGUCAAAUAAUACUUUGUGACAGAAAUGUCAAAACAUUCCGAUAACAUUACGAGACAUAAAAGUAAACAGAAACAAAAACAUAACCCAAAAUUUGUGCCGGUCGUUCAUUUCGAAAAAAUAUGGCAUCACCUCAAGAAAUUCCCAAAGAUGCUGAACCGGCUCCGCCUCCGACUGCGUGGCAGGAAUAUUGCGAAAAACUAAUCAGAUAUAACGUUUGCGCAAGAUAUGCCACGAUAGUAUCCGUCGUUGCUACAUUUUUGUGUUCCAUUGCACCUGGUAUUGGUUUUAUCGGCGUUGACAACUUUUUUCGAACAUUGGAACUCUUGUUGGUGGGAUCGCAGGAUUGGUAGCCUUAUACUUCGAGCUAAGAAUCAAAUGGACACAGGCACCAGAUACGACGCGUGAUAACAGCGAAAAUACACCCACGCACAUCGAGGUGGCUAAUAAAGUGAAAAAUUUGGUGCGCAAUAAUGAUUUAAUUGAGGAAAAGAUCUUUCAAAUAUUGAACCAUCUCAAUGAUGCCACACGGGCUGAUAUAUCCUAUCUCAAAUUAAAUGGUUCCCAAGAAACUCGACCUUCAACACCAACGGAAACAGAAGCUCCAAUUCAACCCGAUAUUGAAGUGCCAACUCACUCACCAACACAAUCAGCGGGACCAGAAUCUUCAAUUCAACCCGAAAAUGUAAUGCCAAUUCGCUCGCCAACACAAUCAUCGGGAACAGAAUCUCCAAUUCAAUUCGAAAUGGUAGUGCCAAUUCACUCACCGAACGCCGAAUAAAAAAAAAUUAAAAAAUACUAUUUCGUCGUUUCAAAACACACGAUUUUUGGUAACGCAUUGAAUUUUUGUUGAAUAAAAACUAAAAAAUUUCUAUUUUCCGAUCAAAAAGAAA